rnacentral:lncRNA from 1 species
GACCUGCAGUAACAGAAGAUGUACGUGCUAGGUGUUGAAUAUAAUUUGGAAACCAAGCCACAGAUGAGAGGUCUUACUUGAUUUGGUUUAUUUUUGCUAAUCAGAAAGUCAGUAGAUGUAAACUACAGAUGCAUCAUAGGGAUAUUCAGUCAAGGUGAUGCAACAUGUAUCUAAUUGUUUUUUCAUAAUUACAAUGAUUAAUAGAUACUAGCAUGAUGAUGACUCUCUUCCUAGCUUAAAAUAUGUUAUCACUAAAUUUGAAAAUGGCACACUAAUAAAUAGGGCUUCUAAAAGAGGUGUGUUGGUAAAACCUUGUUUUAUCUACUUGUUUUUCACUGUAAUAUCAAUCUAUUGAAAACAUUUGCACGGGGCCAAGUAAUUGUGAGGGAAUAAAACAGCAUAUGAGGUUAUAAUUACUAUGUUAGGUAAAACAGAGCAUUAUCAGUCUUCGUUGUUGUUGUUUUUUCCUUCCAAUUACUCGAUAUUCCAGGAAACUUUUCACAGCUGAGCCAUUGUGUUUUCUUCAGAAGUUAGAAAUAAGAUUGGCAGAUUGAUGUCCGUAUUCAGCCAUGCAGCAAAGUACUGGAAGAACUGCCCUAUUUCAUCCUGCUCUUCUGAAUUAUGCAGAUCCUUCCUAUUGGAGGGUCUAGCUUUUG